AUACUUACCUGGCAGGGGAGAUAUCAUGAUCAAGAAGGCAGCUCACCCAAAGUGAGGUUCAGCCAUUGCACUCUGGUUGUGCUGAUCCCUGUAAAUUCCCCAAAUGUAGGUAUCUUGACUGCAUAAUUUCUGUUAGUGGGGGACUGUGUUCAUGCUUUGUCCUG